rnacentral:lncRNA from 1 species
GAACCUUCUAAGGAGCAGCAUCGCGCAUCUGUAAAGGCUAAAUGAAUGGUUCAGAGACAAAAUUGAUCAUGAUCUGAUUGGCAGAGAGUACCGUUCUACAGUAAAGCAAAGUUCUAAAAUCUGCCACCUCUUACUGGUUUCCAAGGUCUGGUACUGUCUCUGGAGGGAUCACAGAAAUGAUGAAGUAGUGAUGGAACCACAGUAACAACACCAACGACAAAGCUGCAGUCUGUGAAGACAAUUCCCAAGAAGCAUCCUCAGAGUGAACGGAGCAAUGGCAGCACUUACAGGAAUUUAUAGGAAUGCUCCAAAGGAGACAUGAGAUGUCACUUUAAAAGUUCUGGUCGGCCUGAAUAAAAUCUGUUCAUUUUUUGUGGUAGCCA